UUCCCAAUUUCCCAGGGGCUUUAAUCCUUGUCUGAGGAGCUUGGAUGCACUUUAUUGUUGUGUCCUUGCGAGUCAGAACAUUUUACCUUGAAAAAAUUAGAGUGUUCAAAGCAGGCUCAUAAGCUUGAAUACAUUAGCAUGGGAUAAUAGAAUAGGACUUUUGGUUCUAUUUUGUUGGUUUUUGAGAACCAGAGUAAUGAUGAAUAGGAACAGUUGGGGGCAUUCAUAUUCAAUUGCUAGAGGUGAAAUUCUUAGAUUGAUUGACGAUGAACUACUGCGAAAGCAUUUGCCAAGGAUGUUUCCAUUAAUCAAGAACGAAAGUUAGGGGAUCGAAGACAAUCAGAUACUGUCGUAGUCUUAACCAUAAACUAUGCCGACUAGAGAUCAGACAGGCUUAUAUUUCAUGACCUGUUUGGCAUCUUAUGAGAAAUCAAAGUGUUUGGGUUCCGGGGGGAGUAUGGUCGCAAGGCUGAAACUUAAAGGAAUUGACGGAAGGGCACCACCAGGAGUGGAGCCUGCGGCUUAAUUUGACUCAACACGGGGAAACUCACCAGGUCCAGACAUAGUGAGGAUUGACAGAUUGAGAGCUCUUUCUUGAUUCUAUGGGUGGUGGUGCAUGGGCCGUUCUUAGUUGGUGGAGUGAUUUGUCUGGUUAAUUCCGAUAACGAACGAGACCUUAACCUGCUAAAUAGUGGCUACCAUGUUUGGUUCCAAACAGGAGGGGAAAGUUUCGG
rnacentral:rRNA from 1 species